GUUUUUAUAGUUUAAAACUAAAACAUUGGUCUUGUAAAUCAAAAAUAAUAU
rnacentral:tRNA from 1 species